rnacentral:rRNA from 1 species
AUUGAACGCUGGCGGCAGGCCUAACACAUGCAAGUCGAACGGUAACAGAAAGCAGCUUGCUGCUUUGCUGACGAGUGGCGGACGGGUGAGUAAUGUCUGGGAAACUGCCUGAUGGAGGGGGAUAACUACUGGAAACGGUAGCUAAUACCGCAUAACGUCGCAAGACCAAAGAGGGGGACCUUCGGGCCUCUUGCCAUCGGAUGUGCCCAGAUGGGAUUAGCUAGUAGGUGGGGUAACGGCUCACCUAGGCGACGAUCCCUAGCUGGUCUGAGAGGAUGACCAGCCAAACGGAAACUGGGACACGGUCCAGACUCCUACGGGAGGCAGCAGUGGGGAAUAUUGCACAAUGGGCGCAAGCCUGAUGCAGCCAUGCCGCGUGUAUGAAGAAGGCCUUCGGGUUGUAAAGUACUUUCAGCGAGGAGGAAGGUGUUGUGGUUAAUAACUACAGCAAUUGACGUUACUCGCAGAAGAAGCACCGGCUAACUCCGUGCCAGCAGCCGCGGUAAAAC